rnacentral:rRNA from 1 species
AGAUACCCUAUUAUUUUGGAUUUAAAGGUUUAAACUUGAGUAGUAUUAGGUAUGGUCUUGAAACUUAAAGAAUUUGGCGGUAUUUUAGUCUAGUUAGAGGAAUCUGUUCCAUUAUCGAUAAUCCGCGUUGAACCUUACUCAAUAUAAUUUAAUAUGUAUAUCGCCGUUUAUUUGAAGAUCUUUUUAGGGCUAAUUUUCUUUAAAUUGUAAUUAAUUUUAUUUCAGGUCAAGGUGCAGUUUAUAAUUGAGUGGAAAUGGAUUACAUUAUUUAUAAAAUAAACGAAUUAAUAUUUGAAAAUAUUUUAUGAAGGGGGAUUUAAUGGUAAUUAAUAAUAAGAAUUAUUUUUGUGAUUUUAGCUCUAAAAUGUGCACACAUCGCCCGUCACUCUCGUUAUUAAGAUGAGAUAAGUC